GGCGAACGGGUGAGUAACACGUGGGUGAUCUGCCCUGCACUUCGGGAUAAGCCUGGGAAACUGGGUCUAAUACCGGAUAGGACGAUGGUUUGGAUGCCAUUGUGGAAAGUUUUCGGUGCAAGAUGAGCUCGCGGCCUAUCAGCUUGUUGGUGGGGUAAUGGCCUACCAAGGCGUCGACGGGUAGCCGGCCUGAGAGGGUGGACGGCCACAUUGGGACUGAGAUACGGCCCAG
rnacentral:rRNA from 1 species